rnacentral:lncRNA from 1 species
ACAGAGUAAACCAGAACUUCUCCCCGGCCCCUGUCAUUCAUUCAAGGAACAGAAGAUGUUUUGAUCAAAUAUUUAUUCUAGUAAGUCAACUGAAUUUCUAGAGUACCAAUUUCUUUAGAUUCAAGUAUUAAAUAAUUCUAGACCACUUUACAGAAAGGAGAUACUAUAAUAACUACUUUUAGGAUCUGAAAAUGGAACAUGAAGCUGUCAGAUUAAAUGAAAACUUCUAAGGCCUUUCAGAAGUGUCUCAAAGUCUCCAACAACUGCAUCCAGCUACUCAUCAUUAUCAUGUGUGUCGAUGGUUGUUAGACACACCCUCAACUUCAGCAUUUCAGAUUCCAUGCAGCAUGAGUCGAGGUCUUUGUACGGUGGUUUUAGAG